rnacentral:misc_RNA from 1 species
GGCUAUCCACGAAAGGAAAGCGGUGGACGUGUGAUGAUAAACGUGAAGAAAAGACGCCUGAUUGUAUUUUUUUCUGAGAAUGAAGAUAACGGUGUCGCUCAACUCGAGGACUUUCAACAUUAAGAGCCUCCACACCCAUCGAGCCGUCUAUUAAAUACGACAUAACUUUCGUAAUAUCGAAAUUCGCGUUUGUUUAAUGACUAUGGUACUUACGCGAUAAGAGUCAGGGUCGUUUGAAAUGACAUGAGUCUCGCAUCCCAGAGAGAAUUUAGUGGUGAAGCCCGAGCAUAUCCAGGCAAUAUCCAGGUUACUUUGGUCUCAAGUCAAGCCAAGUCGGUCAAACGAGGUCCCACGGUAUUUAAAAUAUUCUACGUUUUCAAUUAAAUCGAAGGAAGCUAACCUGCUGCAUCUUCCAUGAUGUAACGAUACGUUUCUAGGAAUCCCACAUUCUGCAAAUAACAAAGAAAGUGUCCCAGACGAUGUUACAAAUAAUCAGAAAAAUCAAACAUUAGAAGAACAAUCAACAACAUC